CCUACGUGAGGCAGCAGUGAGGAAUAUUGGUCAAUGGGCGCGAGCCUGAACCAGCCAAGUAGCGUGAAGGAUGACUGCCCUACGGGUUGUAAACUUCUUUUAUAAAGGAAUAAAGUGAGGCACGUGUGCCUUUUUGUAUUUACUUUAUGAAUAAGGAUCGGCUCACUCCGUGCCAGCAGCCGCGGUAAUACGGAGGAUCCGAGCGUUAUCCGGAGUUAUUGGGUUUAAAGGGAGCGUAGAUGGGUUGUUAAGUCAGUUGUGAAAGUUUGCGGCUCAACCGUAAAAUUGCAAGUGAUACUGGCAGUCUUGAGUACAGUUGAGGUAGGCGGAAUUCGUGGUGUAGCGGUGAAAUGCUUAGAUAUCACGAAGAACUCCGAUUGCGAAGGCAGCUUACUAAACUGCCACUGACAUUGAUGCUCGAAAGUGUGGGUAUCAAACAGGAUUAGAUACCCUAGUAGUC
rnacentral:rRNA from 1 species